GCCUCUCAGCCAACCACGCCCCUCAGCCGCCGUCUCGCUGUCACGUGGCCGCGCUGCCCCGUCGCGCCGUAACCAUGGCGACGGCGGUACACACGCGGCGGGCGCAGGCCGUGGCACGGCGGCCGCAGUGAGGGCUAUAGAAGUCGCCCAGCCCGCCGUGCUGCCGUCCCGAGGCCCUGCGGCCUGAAAAACCCUCGUGGGGCCUGGGCUGCCGGGUUUUUUUAUUGUUGGCUUUCUUUCUUUUUGUGAUUUGUUGAGUUUUAUCUUGUUUUAUGUAGGAGGUGUACUUAGUCUUGAGCGAGAAGGGGCUUGUUCCUACCCAGAGCAACGUCCCUGCAGCUCUCCUCAUACCCCCCUCCCCUGGCCUUGCUGGUAGUUAAGCAACUAUGGAAGAAGCCGAAGCAGAAGGAGGAGGAAGACACAAUCCCUGUCCCCCAAAACCUACCGUUCUGCUAUAGAAACAACCGUGUGUCACAGGUGGCAAAGGACAGGCUGGGGAGGAGGACAAAGAGAGAGCUCUCAUUCUGUCAAUUUAAUGAGUUCUUUCCUUAUCAGCUUCAGCCUUGUCCAGAUCUGCUAAGUGGCUUUUCUUAGAGAUCGAAUGGCUGUGAAUUGGUGCGGGGGAGCUUCUUUUGUUACGCGGCUGACCGGAUUUUCAGCAGUUCAAUCUCUGAAGAGCCGAGCUGUUCUCAGAGCAGAGCUGUUCUCAGCUGAAGGAGGCACGCAGAUGGCAGCUGGGCUCUUCUGGAAACCAGGGUUCAUGCAGGGCCGAGUUCUGAGGCCGCAGGGCUUCCCCCAGCAAUAUCCCGGGCCUCACAGGGUGGUACAGUGCUGGGGGGGAACUUCAGCCUUCCUUCAUUUGCAGAGGUGUUUGUAGCAUAGGGGUGCAGUGCACUGAAGGGAGCCUUUCUCUGAGUCCCCCAGCCCAGGAAAGGCAUUUGUGGGAAUAAGCUCUAAACCUCAACAUGCAGCCAUUCAUAGAGCUUUAACACAGACAAAGGCCACUUCCAUCAGCAAAGAGAAACCUCAAGGCUAAAAAGCCAAGCUGCAGGUGGUCCUUGCUUAGCGAGCAAGGAUAUAUAUCCUUUUCCAGCAGAGUGAAAAUUCAGUUGUCUUACAAAUUGCAACUUUAAAAGGGGACUACGUAUGCCUACACGUCCCAUCCAUCGUAUUUUCUUAGUGAUGUGAAAGCGCUUCCUCUCAAAGUUCUUAGGCUCCUUCUUGCUUCACUACAGCAGUUGGGAAACAAAGCCACGUUUCACCCAGCAGACGCAGACAUGCAGCACAUCUCAUGUGCCACCAAAAGCAGCCCUUUGCACCAUGCAGCCCAGUGGAGUUUUUUCCCCUGUUUUGACUCAGAUAACAUCUGUCUGGUGACUGGGUGACACCCAGCAGGAAAACACAUCUGAGCUUUGUAGCAGGAGCUGACAGCACUCAUGUGCUACUGCUUUUAGAGAGCUGAGACACGUGAACAGACAGCUAGAGCUGUGCUGGCUCUGAUUAAAUUAAGUGCUGUGGAGUCAGCCUCCUGAAUCCCUGCUUGCUGGGAAUUAAUCACACAGAGGUGAGAGCCUGCGUCCUGUGACAGGCUCUACUAUCACCACUAUUACAUUGUAAUGAACCAUUUAUGAGCGACCCUUAUGAACGACCACUUGGAUGCACGUAGGGGCACUGACAGAACUUCAGAUUUUGUUUUUGUUUGCCUACCGACCUGAACAUCAACUGCUUAAAAGCUACCAACUGCCUCAAAAUAGUUACAGCUGCAUUUAAGAGCCGUGGAUGUAGAAUCCACGCAAGAAUAGGUACCUUCACUGAAACUAUGCCAAAUAUAUUCAUACAAAUAGGCACACACAAAAAAAAAAUGAGUAGAUGCCUCUGCCCACUUUGUUGGUGUGCACGGUUAUUUUUAAGUGUAUUCAAAACCUUGGCAAGCCAGAACUGAAACUGCUCUUGUUCACAGCCCCAGCCGAUGCACACCAUGCACUGUCACAGCCGUCACGCACACACAGCCUUCUCAGAAGCUGCCUCGUGCUUCUGUUGAGGCAAAGAGGUGCUGUGCUCGUGCCUUGGAAUCCGUACACCACAUCAAUAGCGAAAGGCAAACAACACGCCAAGGAGCUGAAUAGACACAGGUUAUCUUGUUCGCUGCAACCGCUUGCAAACGGCAAAGGCGGCCCUGCAGAAGUCGAGUGCCUUGCCCUGUUUCUAUCAUCGGGCCUCCUCUUGGGUUGCCUGCUUCCUACGAGACCUGGUUCCCAGACAGGUUCUGAAAGAACAACGCCCUGAAGCAAGAGAUUACCAGACAGCUUGGCUGCAUUUCAUCCUGAGCCACGGGGGCUUCAAGCAGAGCUCCCCGAGCUCUUUACCACAAUACACACUGCUCCUCCAGCAGCAAGCACAGAAAGCAGAAGCUGUCGCGGUGCAUUAACUGGUAGAAAGAAUAUGCUUAGAUAUGCCUGACAUCCCACUUGCAGAGUCCAAUGUCAUCCUUCGAACCACUUCCUCCUCGUCAGCAGCUUCCUGUGUGAUUUCCGGCCUUGUUGUGUAAGGGCAGCGCAAAUGAAAGGAUUCCUCGUUUACAGAAAGCCAUUUUCUGUCCUCAGCAGCUUCUCCUUCAACUCUACUUACAAAAUCCCUUUUAAAAGCAGUUUCCUAACAGGUUGGUUAACAUAGGAACAUAAAACCUCACUGUUUCUGUUACAAAAGGUGUUGUCUGAGAAAGAGUACAGCAGGGUUUCUAUUGCACACACAUGAGUUAGUUUUUCACUUAAAUCACUCGGGGAUCUUAAUAGCUACAAAUGUCUCGGGCUUUAUUUCCUGAAGAAAUUAAUUUCCUUUCCAUCCCCAUCCAAAAUCCACUCUGAAGAGCAAAUGUACUCCGAGUAAUUUGCAUGCACCGUGCACCAUUCCUACUAUGGUGAGGAUAUCGCUCCCUCCCACGGACACUAAAGCUGCUUACUCAGUGCUGAAGGCCAAACUCUAAUAAUGCUUUGAUGGAUCCUAAACUGAGGUAAGUUGGCAUCUCCCGGCAGCUCCAGAAACUGAGCUUCGGCAGAAAUAUAACCUCCUUUGUACACAAUUAGAUUCUUUUAGUCUCACUAAAAUUGCCACCCACCUUCUAUUGUGUGCUAUAAACCUUCCAAACAGCCUGAACUUUCCUCUUUUUUUUUUAUUAAUAUGUAAAUUAAAUCAGUUUACCUUCCUGCUAGUCAUCUUCAUCUGGGUACAAAGUAAUCUAAGGAGAACCCAGCUGAGACAAAGGCAGGCUGCUUAUCCUCCACCAUAUCCUCCUGCUUUUUUUCCACAUCUAGUUGGCUUGUCUGCUUAGAGUCAAGCCCAUUUACUCCACCUCUUUUGUUGUUAAGAACACUGUCAAUGAACUAAACCCAAGGAGCUGUGCAGCACAGACGAAAUGCAAGGCUCGUGAAGACCAAACACAUUCGUUGCUCCUGACCAACAGCGCUUCCUGUGAUAAGAAUAGUUUCUGCUUACCACAAGCAGUCACGAACUUAUGCACAAAUUCCACUUUCUGAGAACUAAAUCAGUGUGCCUCAGGCUGACCUUCAUGUGAAUCUGGGCAGGUUUGGUUCACACGGCUCGGCAAAAAACAAUCUCAGCUCCUGGAGUUCGUCCACAGGUCUGCACUCAUUCACCCCAGGCUUUUCAGCUCUGGCAGGCAGCUCGCCACAUUUCACCCACAGCAGUUCUGAUAAAUCCACCUUUGGUGUAAUUUCCACCUGCAGCCUUUAAGCACCUUGCAUUAAUUCUGCGCUCGAGGUUGAACACAGAAGGUGGACUUCAGGUUUAUUGUAGAAUGCUGGUAUGACUCCAAGGAACCUGUUUCGGUAGCAACAAGCUGAAUUCAGCAGCAGUUUCUGUUUUACACAGGUUGUUUUCCUAGAUCGUUGACAUCACCCCGCCUGCCUGGGCUCCUCUGCUGUGAUGACAUCCUCACCGUGUGACCCCCUUGCCUUUGAGAGCUGUGGCUUUCCAGAAUCAUGAUUUUGGUUAGCAUACCUGAGCCACACAUACACAGCAGCAGCAGCAAAUGAUGAACAUAAGAGCUCUCCAAGUCCCAGUUGUAACAGUGGAGCUGAUGUCUGCAAUCCUCAGUUAUCUAAUUACCCUUUGUGGCUUCAGUAAAACGAAGACAGUGCUACUUGGGAUCUUCCCAAGCCCCCCAGGACUCGGUUGGUUAGCAUAUGUGAAAGGUUAGGAUUUGUAUGACGCUUUCUGAACAGCAGAUGCAUUUGGAUUUCCCAGUGGCUUGCACCUUCUUCAUUGCUUUCAGCCAAAAGUAAUCAGCAUAUCACAUGCAAAGCAGUAUCUAGCAUCUUUGCACUUCUCGUUUUAUACUUGGCGAGGUCGUACGAGACUUUCACGGCUUUGACUCCUGCCCUCAUGCAGCUGGGAUGGCCACUGGCAACCUCAGUGCUUGGACCGAGCUGGAGCUGCAGUUCCAGGAAUGUGGCCUGACCCAGUCCCCUGUGAUGGAGCUGGGAUUGCUCCAACUCCUCAGUGGAGCUUCACUGACUUGCAGUGACCAGUGCCUGGCCAUCUCCUUCCUGCCUUUGAUUUUGGUUUGUUCACAGACCAUGGUGGAACCAAGGAGGGACGUCAACCUCAAGAUACACUUGGCAAGCUGACAUGGCCAGAGCUACUGGAAAAACACCAGCACAGACAGCCAUUUCCCCAUGAUCCCCAGAUAUUUACAACCUUCCAGUUCUACUGAGCAGGUUGCUUUGCAAUUGACAACAGAAAGAAAGGUGGCUUCAAGACAGAGAGAUUCCUACGCACCAGAGAUUAUUCCACAGACCAGAGGCACCUCUCCAUUUAAUGCAGCCCAACAGAAGGUAACACACCUGGUCUUCACCAAGACAGCCCAUUGAUAAGAAAAUGAAAACCACACUGGCCUUCCAUGCCUUCACAGUGGAUACCAAGGAAGCCAAGCCUAGCACAGACAGAGCAAAAGAGAGAGGCCAUGGUCUUCAGGCUGACAAGGGCUGCAGAAGCCUGCAAUCAUCUCAAAACCUGAGACUGCUAUCAGGAGCUGAGGCUCUUCAAGUAAAUUCCAUGAAGGGACCUGGAACUCCAGCAUGCAGAGCCAGGACUGGCAGCAGCGGGGAGAGCUCAGUCAUACACCACUCAUCAGCUCUAAGCUGAGGGAAUCACCACGAGGGAAAGAGGAGAGGCAAAGGAAAUAAAUCAUCUGAUAUCCUGUCAGCAAACUGCCAUCAGUGCUUUGAGACUGGAGGCGUUUCUCCUGCCCCAGAAGAGCAUUGAAAAAAAAAAAGUCUAGCUGAUAACUUGGACAGGGUUCAGGUAUGUUUGUGUGCAUACCAGCAGUUAAACUGAUUUCUUCCACUAUCUUAUCUGUCCAUUUCUGGCUUUGAAGGGGAAGAAGUUUGGCAGGCGAGUUGCUCUUGGAAUGCACUCAGUAAACCAUGGACAGGAGAACCAAGGAGCAUAAAUAGAAGUAGCCAUAGGUGUAGCAGCUGGGAGCCUGACUUCUGGCUUCUAUUCCGAGCUCUACUCAUGACUCACUUGACGACCUUGGAAAGCCACUUCACCUCUCCCUGCUCCAGCAUUCUCACAGGCACAGCUCACCCAUUUCACAGGUACCCCAGGCAGAGGAACCCCACUGCUUCCAGCUGGGUAAGCAAUUCUGGAGGAAGGACCUCAUCCCUCUUCCUCUGUUAGCCCCAGGCCAUUCAGCCCCACAGGUCAGGGCACCUGGAGGGGAACUGGCAACUUGAACCAAGUGCAUCUCGUGAAGCUUUUUGGGAUCCGUCAAGGAAAGGAAAAGCACUUUAACAAGAUGUUGCUAAUUAUAGCUUGACAGCACAUAACACAUUCCUGCUCUGGACAGAGCUCUGCUAUCAGCCAACUCAAUUAUACAUUAUCUUUGCCCAAUUCCCUCCUUAUUAAUUGUGACCAAAGCACUGAAUAAAGCCAAAUUUCUGCUUGCUCUCCAUUUCUCCUUAUUCAAGACCAGUUCCUUGACAGCAACAGUGAGACUGCAAGGCUGCUAUGUGGGGCUGCCUGCACUCCCUGCCCCCAGCCUGCAGUAAAUGUGUCUCUCCACUUUUAUUCCUGCCUGCCCAGAGCAGAUUCCUUGGAUGCUAACGCCUUGGAUCUCCAUGACUGAAGCAGGAUGGGGCUGUGCUGUCACCCCAGCAGACGCCCUGCCACAGGCCAUUGGAAAGCAGAGCCCCUUUCUUCCAAGUGCUCUGCAGCAUCCUGCUCCAGUUGGAGCAUGCAAGAGCCCAGGCUUCUUCAAACCCUCUGCAUCCAGACCCCCCCAAGGAACUGGGAUUUGGCAUUGGCAGCAGGCAGGAAAAAUGCAGCAAAACCCAAUGCCCACAUACACCAUGAGCCCUUCUGUGCAUCAGGGGCAACAGCAGCAUGAAGGCAUCCCAGAUCAACCCGAUUUCUAUAUAAAAACAGGAAACAGCCCCUCCCUCCACCAAAAGGGAGGAAGAGCUUCCUGGCCUGUAUCUGUGUCACUGAGAAACAAGGCAGGAACAAACAGCUCGCUCCUUCUAAUCCUAGAGCGCAUCUGAAACAGCAGACACUUCAGUGAAUCCCUUCUAGGGGUACUCCUAAAUCUGUCCCCAGCACAGUUCCUGGAAAACAGCGAGAUCUCUGCUCCCACAGGGCUCAGAGACAGAUGGCCUCAGACUUCUCCUAACACCCACUUCCCGCAGGAGAAGCAGAUGGGAGCUGUGCUACAAGCCACAGGGCAGGGUUACCUCCUGAUGUGCCCAGGGAUGCAGGCAUCUCACAUGGGGCCGCUGCUCUAAAUCCAGCUUGAGCUCAUAGCAGCUGGCCCUCAGCACUUACAGUUAUUUGGUGCCCUGCAGGAGAUAAGCACUUGCCCAGGAGCCCACCAGCUCCCUUCCCCUCCAGCAGACAAAGCUGGGAUUGAUUCAAGCUCUAGAAAAAACAAACAACCCUUUGCCUUCAGAAGCAGUGCUUCCCACGCUGCACUGAGCGUUUUAGGGCAGGUUCUUACAUGUCACUUUUACUCACGUACUGAAAGUUAGGGUGCAGGGAUGUCAGGUUGAAUGUUAGGAAACGUUUCUGCUCAGAAGGAGCGGUGAUGCGGUGGCACAGCUGCCCAGGGGGUGGUGGGGUCACUGUCCCUGGAGGUGUCCCAGAGCCAUGGAGAUGUGGCACUGAGGGACGUGGGCAGUGGGCACAGUGGAGUGUUGAGUUGGGGAUCGUGGAGGUCUUUCCCAACCUUAAUAGUUCUGCAUCGAGUUGUACCUACCCCAUCCCACAUCCAUUACACGUGGCACUGCGGCCACAUGAGCCAAGCCAGGAUGUCUUACUGAAGUAAAUCCUGACCUGUGUUUGCUCUGGCAUGCCAUGCGUGUAUUUCAGGCCAUAAUCAAAGCCUUCAGUACCAUCUGAUCAGGUAGAAAGAGGGACUGUACAACAUUAAGCCAAAAAAAAAACACAUACAGGAAUCAUUCUGCACAUAAAAGCAGUCAGCUUAGCAUAUGUGAGAAACCUCAGGGUCAUGAGUGCUGCUCCUGACAAUGAUUCCUGGACCUUGCUAUGUCAAAACAGAAAUACCAGAAUGAUACUCAGAGUCACCAACCAUCGCCUGCUUUGCCUGCUGCCAUGUAGCUCGCAGGUCGUGCACACUUGUUUAGAUGCAUCUGCAUAGGAAUCCAAACUGCAAAUAAAGAGCUGCAGCAGAAGUUGUGGUUUUGUUAUUACUGCUCAAGACAGAGACUACAUGAGAAAAAAAACACUUUCCAGUUCAGAUGGAGGAAAUGGAAAGCACAAAGGCUCUGUUUGCUGCUCAGCAGGGUGGAUUUCUAAUGAACUGCUUCUACCAAAUAACUGAGAGAUGAGGGAGCAGUGUGGAGAGGUGCUUUCCGCACAAGAAUGAAAAUCAGAAUACCAUUCCUGGACGAGGUUACACAACCAGGAGUAGUUUUUAAUCUUCCCCCCCUCUUGUGCUAAAUAUUUUGCUUCCAUUGUAAACACUUGACCUCCACUUCUCAAUGCUUCCCCUCAGUUACCCCCAUCUACAUCUCCCCCCUCCAAACAAAGAGCAGAGGCUUCCCUUCAGCUCUCCAACAUACCUGCACCAGCAGUUCCAUCCAUCUGCAGGCUUUCAGAGACCACCCAGAACCACCUUCGUGUCCAUGGACGAAAGGCUUCCAGAGCAGCUCUCAGCUCCUCCCAGAUGGUAAAACUGGUGAGCUCUCAGUGCAGAUGGGUGGCAGCAGCCUGGAUCCCAGGCUUUUCCCAUCCUCUAGUCAAGAAAAGGGCAUGGAUGUGCAGACACCACCUGCCUUGAUUUCAGCCAGAAAAGAAGUCCACCCAGCUCCAUUUUGUCUUCACUGUUACCCCUUCUGACUUCUUCCUGACGCACUGCAUUACGGCUGCUCAGCCAUUGCUCCAACAGCAAUGGGGGCUCGAGGGAAAGAUCGUACAUCCCUGAGAAGCUCAGAUGAAAGACCAUAGAGGUAACAUGGACUGUUGCUACUACUACACCUGGCAGCGCAAUCCACAGCUAAACGAGCUCUAAACUGCAAAAAGAUUUAUGCCCCGCUUCGGUCUCCUUCACAGUUUCACUGCAUGAACAGGAUUGUAGUGUGGUUAAAUCCCCUGCGUGGAAAGCAGCUCGUAGGCAGUUUGCUACACACAAGUAUUUCCUUUGGUCUUGACCGAGUUAAGGAGCAGCAGGGCCAGCUGCUUCCCAAAGGAGUCAGGAGGGCAAGAAGGGAUGUCACCAGCCAGGGUCCAGCCUCAAAGUGGGGCAGAGCAGCUCCAGGGGUCACCCCAGUGUUCAUCCAAGAGCCCCCAGGGUCACCAAGCAAGCUCACAGCGAUGAGGCAGACCAGUAAAA